GACUUUGCCCUGCAUGAUCGGGACCCGCAGGGCCAGCAAGAAGCAGCAGACACAACAACAACAUGGAAGAUUUUCUGCAGCGCAGCAAAACCAAGCUGAGUCGAAGCAAAUACUUAGAUAAAGUGCAUGUAGUCCUGGGAAAGAAGUCCUGUGAUUUGGAUUCUCUUAUUUCUGCUUUGACAUAUGCCUACUAUCUUGAAAAGGUCAGUCCACCCAACAUUCUUUGCUUGCCUGUACUGAACAUAACAAGAAAAGAAUUCUGCUACCAUACAGAAACUAAGUUUAUUUUGGAAGAGUUGAAUAUUCCAGAGUCUCUUCAUGUUUUUUGUGAUGACAUCUAUUUGAAUCAGCUUAACAAUGAAGGGAAGUUGUCUCUUACACUUCUGAACAGUAGUGCACUGACAAGUGAAGAUAAAAGUUUGGAAUCAGCUGUUGUCAGAGUCAUUUGCCCCGAAGCGCAGUGUGAUGGCAAUGUGGAGUUAGUCGAAUCAACUUCCUCCUUAGUAGCAAAAGAGCUUCUUCAAAAGGCUCCGGAGUUAAUCACUCUGCAACUGGCUCAUCUUCUCAGAGGAAGCAUUCUCUCUAAAGUCAUAGCCAUGGAUCUUGAGAAAAUUACAGAAGAACAAGAACAAGUGCUUUCCAGUUUGGAGGAGAAAUUCCCAGAGCUGUUACCUCGAGAGGAUAUUAUCACAGUGCUGCAGGGGGCUCAGCUUCAAGCAGAUGGGCUAAGGAUUGAGGAGGCUAUGCUCAAGGAUCUCAAAGAGGUGUCAGAUGGAGAGAUAAAAGUAGCAGUUAGUACUGUGUAUAUGAAUCUAGAGGACUGCCUCUUGCACAGAAAUAUAACUGGAGAUUUAAAAGCAUUUGUGGACAAAUAUGGCUUUGAUGUCCUUGUCAUUUUGGCCAGAUACUUAUCAGAAGAGGAGCAAGAAAAAAGGCAAAUAGCUGUUUAUUCAGAAAACAUGGAGCUGGGAAAUCAGAUAUGUUGUGAGCUAGAAGAAUGUCAGAAUCCUUGCCUGGAACUGGAUCCUCUGGAAUAUGGAUGUGACCAACUGCUCCUUUAUCAGCAAGAAAAUUCUACAGCAAAUUGCAAUGAAAUUUUUCUGCUAAUGAAAGAUGUUAUCACCAGAAGACACCCAGAGAUGUUAGCAAACAGUAGGACAUCUUCCACUGAAGCUGUUGCUGGAAGUGCGCCACUUUCCCAAGGGUCUUCUGGAAUCGUUGAAUUGUAUGGUUCUGAUAUUGAACCUCAGUCAAAUGUUGUCAACUUUAUAGAUAACCCUCAAGAUCAUAAUGGAUCUGCUCAAGUCCAUGCUGACAUUAAUGUGGAUCUUGUGAGUCCAGACAGUGGACUUGCUACUAUCAGAAGCAGCAGGUCUUCCAAGGAAAGCUCGGUUUUUCUUAGUGAUGAUAGCCCAGUAGCUGAGGGGGCUGCAUCUCAUCACAGCUUCCUCUCUGGCUUUGACUCUUAUAGCCCUAUUCCUGAAGGAGCAGUAGCUGAAGAAAAACCUCAGUCUACAAACAGCAGUGACAAUUUUGAUUUUUUCAAUUUUGAUUUACCACCAAUGACUGCAGUUCAGACAGAGUCUUCUCAUUCUGUGGACUGCUCCCUUGGUGAUGAUUUCUCCCAUGACAGUGGCUCAUCAGAAGGACAGCAGCAAGCUGACACAAAAAUACAUGAUGAGACCAAUUCAUCCGAAUAUGACAUUUCAAAUUAUUCAGCUGAUUUGCCAAUGACAAGAAAUGAAGACAAUGACAUAGUAAAAUUUAAUGAGCACGAAAACCAGCAAGAAAAUCCUAGAGAUUUUACUGAAACAAAAGCAAGUUUGAUUGCCUUGGAAAAUGAUUCUCCGCCUUCUUCCGAAUUGAUGAAAACUGCUGAGAGAAGGACUCCACCAACCCCAAUGAACAGCCUUGUGGAUACAUCACCUUUAGAUAGUGGGCCACCUUUACUUUAUCCACAAGAUGUAAUUAAAAAAAUUAAUGAAAUUAAUUAUGUGAAUCCUCCAUCUCGUGUUAGAUAUGGCAGUUGGUGGGAAGGCUAUGAAUUAGAUUCAAAAGAUGCUGCUACAUGGAGGUCAGCUGAUACAGAAGCUGUAUUUCAGAAUCCUGAUUCAUGGAAAGAUCAUAAAGCAAGUCUACACUUGGGACAAGAAACUGACAGAAGAGCGUCCGAUUCUGUCUAUGUGCAAAAACAACGGGAGCAUCUGGAAUUUUGGGAUGAUCAACUUAGUCCUAUCCAGAAUGAGUUUACUUUGGAAAACAAUGAAAAAGGCAAUGGGCAACAAAGGGAAAUUUUUUCUAGCAUGUGGAAAUCCAAUCAACCAAUGCCUUCAAGAACUGAUAAAUGGGAUAAUACCAACCAUCACAGUGGAUACGUGGAAACUAAUUCACCUAAUGUUUGGUCAAAGCCAGAUUGUGAUGUUUCUGAACUUUCUGAGGAUGCCUGGAAUGUUCCUCCAGUAGAUUUUGAUCACAUUUCACAAAGGAAUUGCGAUACAUGGUCUGUGUCUAAACAUUUGCCAGAACUCUCUGGAGAAGGUGAAUAUGAAAAGCUAACCAAUCAAGUGGAUUUACAAUCCAAAAUUAAAGAUAAUCAAAGUUCAAUAGAUAACUGCAGAACAUAUACAAAUACACAAUCUCACAUUAAUAAUAUGCAGAAGAAUGUUAAAUUGACCUUGGAAUACCAAAACAACACUGUGGAAAAAUCCAAACAAGUUGACAGCAUUGAAGGAUGGGAUGUAUCUGACUCAAACAUGAGAGAAAAUAUACUUGUCUCCUGGGAAGAUCCCUUCCUGUCAUACAGAGAUCCAGACUUCAUCACAUCAAAUACAUGUGAUGACUUAGUUGUUUCUCCACCAGAUACAAAUUAUUCAACCUCUGAUUCCUACAUAUCACCAUCAGGAACUGGAGAUGAAAAAGAAGGUGAAGGAAAGAUUUCUCACCAAGAACCCAUCUUUGAUAAAAUGAUAAAUUCAAACUCAAGUGAACAUGAAAGAUAUGAUAUAACAGAGAAGAAAACAUUGCCUCAACCAUCUCCUAUACCUUCAUUUGAUACUGGUUGGAAAGACAGAGGUCCCGAGAACCAAACAGAACCUAAACAUUCUAAGGUCAACUUUAUAACAAACACUAUUUCACAGCAUUUAGAACAACAAGGUGCCACACAUUUUUCAGGUGACUACUGUGUUGAUGAAAGCAGUCCUUCUAGCUCUGAAGACUGUGGAUUAAUUGUGACUUCUGCACACAGAAGUCAUUCACUUUUAGGUAAUAUUAAACACAAGUCCAAAGAAAAAGCUGAAACAACUAGUGGAGACUUUUCUAAUGACACCAAUGACAGGGAGAGCACUAUUGCAGUUAAUAGUGGAAUAAAAAGAACUGAACAAACAGAGCAGGACAGUGAGCUUCUAGACAAACGUUUAGAUCAGUGGAAUCAGCAACUUCAAUGCAGUCAAGAGUCUGGACUAGAACAUAUUGAUGCUUCUUCUGCCUCAGCACAAAAAGUUGAGGAAUGUAAAAGGAGGAAUGAUGAAAGAAGUGAACAUGAUAUUUUUGACAGUAUUAAAAAUGAAUUAACACAGAAUGAUAGCACACCACCAUCAUCUUUACUUAUUCUGUCAUAUGUUAGUAAUUCAGAUGAAAGCAAGACAGUGCCUGAUGAUCCUAGGUCAUCUGAAAAAACAAGAGAGAGUGGAAAUCCCAAAGAAGCAGCAAAACCAUCAGACAUAAGCACACUAUUUCCUAAUUGGACUUAUCCUGUCAAUGAGGACAAGAAAGAAAACCCCCCAGAUAGCAAUAUAGAUUGCUUUACUAUGUCUUCCAAAAAUGGUAGCAAACCUUUGGUUCAUCUUGAUAUCACUGAUGAUUUAAAAUACAGUUUAAAUGUGGCAUUGACAUCAGUCCAGAAAUGUUUUGAUCAGGAUUUGACCCCGCAAAAGACUCCUGAGCUGGAAAGGCCUUCUCUAGGUUCCAUGGAAAAGGUGAACAAUCAAGAAAAGCUUUCUGUAAUAUUUGUUGAGAAUGAAGACCAAUGGGAUACAUUGGGGAAGAGUGUGUCUGAGUCAUCAGAUCUUUUGCUACACGAUGAAACACCACUACCAGAAAGAGGACAACAGGGAUAUUUAUAUGAAGAGAUAAUAUCUAAUUUGAAUGUCAGGUCUUCUUCUUUGGAAGAUAUAAAUCAAGAAAAAUCAACCGAUAUUCCACAAAAUCCAGAUGUAGAAUAUACUAAAUAUGCAACAGGGACACCUACAAUAAGUAAUUCAGUUUCUUAUAAAAUGGAUUAUGUUGAAAGAGAUGAAACUUUUGAAAGUCUAGAAUCUGAAAAUAAAGUGUCAAACAAGACAUAUAUUGACGUUAUACCUCAUCAUGAAUUGUCCCAAAUUCUGGAUGCUUGGAAUGUAACAGUGAAUGAACAAGCACAUUCUGUUGUUGUAAGCCCCAAAAUAAAAGAAAUACUUGAAAAAUCAGAUACCACAUACACUCUCCCUGCAGAUAUUGACGUCAAAGGCAAUUUCAUUCAUGACAAUACACAUUCAUGUGCUACAACUCCAGAUUUCAGUGAUUCUUCUACAAAUAUGCAUACUUGGAACAGCUUGCAAACAGCUAUUACUGAAAAAGGAAAUGCAGAGGAUUUGGAUAUUACAAAUGGUAAAAUAGAAGCAUAUGAAAAAGAAUUGCUUGAGAAUAAAAGCCAAGAAGAUUCUGAGACAAGCACUGAUCACAAAGUUCCAAAAAACUUAGACCUUUGGAAUACUCACAUAGAGGAUGAUACAGUUUCUUCUUUAUCAAGUCCUGGAUUAGAUGAAUAUUCAGAAUAUUCAAAUGUACAUGAGUCAGGAAAACUAUCAGAUGUAAAUCCUGAUCAACUGGAGGAAGAUAUGAUAGCUCAGGAAUCUUUGUAUUGCUGUGGAACAAACCCAGAAGCUAAUUCCGAAAGUUCAGAUGCUUGGGCCAGUUUGGAACAAAAUCUAGUUGCAUUUAAUAAAUGUUCUGAAGGUGAUGGUACCUGUAAUACUUCAACAAAGGAUUAUUUUUAUGAACCCUCUGAGCAUUUAGCACACUGGGAAACUCAGGAUGACAUACAUGACCAAACCUUAACUAUAACUCAUGAAAAGGAAUAUGCAUCAAAGACUUCAGAUGCAUGGGAUUUACUACUCCAUGGUCAUUCUGAAAGUUCAUUAGACACACCUCAGAAGUCCACAGUUGAAGAUCUUGGGUUUCCAAAUGAUUCUUCAGAAUGGUGGGAUUUGCAAAAACAAGGUGACAAUUCAGUGGGUCAAGUAUUUAAUACCAGUUAUGAUUUUGAAAUGAAUGAUUCCAUAACCACAGGCCAUUAUGUUUUGGGAGUACUCACAGAAAGAAGUGAAAACCUUGAAGAACUAAAUGCUGCAAUCGAUGAAAAUGAAUCCACUCCAUAUCAUAGUGAAGGCGAAUAUGAAAAUGGAGAACACUCCUUGGAUAAACCACCAGAAGGUUCAGAUCAUGUUUCUGUAAACUUUGAAGAGUAUGAUUCACAAUCAUACAACAAUGAAGGGGAUGUUAAGCAAGAACCUUUUGCUUCUGUUGUUAGUGACCAGGAAUAUCUUAAACAAGUUCAUGAAGAAGACUGGAAGUCAAGCCUGUUUAAUGCACUUGCUCAGGUAGAUCCCAAGCUUGGUCUGUUACAAGAUAAUUUGAAUAUAGCUUCUAGUGAUCCAAGCGCAAUAAACAUAGGAGACCCAUAUACUCAAACUCCAUUAGAUUCACAUGACAUAUCUUUGCCAAAUACUACACAACCUCUAACAGUAAGUACACCCAGCCCAAACUUUGAUGAAGACAGAGUACCAUUUGAAAAUGCAUUUGUUCCAGAUAUAUUACAAAAUAACAAUCCUGUAGACAGUCAGGGAUUCACUGUUGAUCCAGAUUUGUGGAAUGUUGUAGAACAGCCUUUCAAUCUGAGAACAAACAAAGAAAAUCCUGAUAUAUUAAGUCACUGUGAUCAAGAUAGCAGUUCACAGGCCUCAAGCAGUCCUGAUGUUUGCCACGAAUAUGAAAACAAGCAAACAUGUGCUCAGUCUUCUGUCCUAUCUGAGCCUGACAAUGCUACUCAUAUGUCUCCAAUGCUGUCAGAUAUGGACAGAGAUACAGACUUUUAUUUUAAUCAGAAGCUGGUGAUUGACAGAGAAGAGAUACAUCCUGAAGGAAAUGGUUCAUGCCUUCCAGAUAAUUUUGAGGCAAACAUUGAGGAGUCUAACCAGCUGUCAACUAGUAGAAUGGAAGAACCACUUGAAAAUGGAAUGGUAAAUGUGCAGAUUUCUGACACAGAAAACAAAAAAUCUUUUGAAGUAGACAAUUUGCCAAGUAUAGAAAGUAUAGAAGCAGUAUCUCUAAAUCUAGAUAAUUGUGCAUUUGAAAAGAAAAGCAUUGAAGAAAAGGAAGUCUCUGCUUUUGUAGAUAAAUCUAUGUGUCCUGCUGUUGCUCCUGUUUUGCCUAUAGAUGAUUCUGUAAGUGAUCCCUUUGCUGAUGGUAAUCAGUUUUCAGACUUUGACCAUAUAACAGGGAAUGAUGAUCAACAAGAAGUAUCAGAUAUCCAUGUUAAUGAUGAAAUUGUAAUAGAACACAGCAUCAGUAAGACAGCAAUUGCCAAUAGCCCAACUGUCAUAGUAAAUGCAAGUAAUUCUUUGGCAAUCAUAGACGAUGAAAGUACAGAAAUACAUACAAGAUCCACACAGUUGCAUUCAUUGCAGGCCUCCAUAGAAGAAGAGAUGGAAGAUUUUGUGUAUGAUACAGGAAGCCAAAAUGUUACUGAAAUUUUACAAGAACCUGAAAAUAUACAGGAGAAUCACAGCCCGUGGUUUGCAGAAUCACCUGAUAGACAUUCACCAUAUGCAUGUACUUCUCCAUUUGAUGUAGCAUUUGGUGCAGAAUACACUCAUCAAGAAGGUGACACGAACAUUUCAGAAUGUGACCCUAAGGAUAUAAAAGAUGAAAGUUCUCAAGUUGAUCAUAGUUGGGGAUCCCUGUUAAUAGAAUCUGAUGGAACUCCUGGAUCUUCUUGCACUUUGAAAAAAUUUGAGUAUGAAACAGAUUCAAGUAAUAUUGAAUCACCAACAGGUGACAAUGACAUUAACAUUUUGAAAUCUAAAGAUAUUGCUUUCCGAGGUGAAGUUGCAGAAUGUGUUCAAGAAGAUCAAGGUUGGGAUUCACUUUUGCUGGAAUCUGAUGAACAUUCAAACGUAUCGAAAGAAUUUGCACAUGGGACAAAUUCAAGUCAUAUUGAUUCCCGAGUUGGUGAAGGUGAAAUUAAUCUUUCAGAAGCUGUACAUAGUCAUACUAAUCCCAAAGCCAGAGGAUAUUCUCAAGAAGAUCAAGACUGGGCUUCUUUGUUGGAACCUGAAAUAACUCCCAUGUCGUCUGACUCUUUGAAAAAAUUCAAGUAUGAAGCAGAAUCAGUUCAUAUUAGUUCACCAGCAGAUGGAGUUGUAUGCCUGGACAAUGAAGCUGCCUGUGAUAUACUUAGUAGUGAUCUUAAAAUGUCUACAUCCACAGAGAGGACAAGUGAAGAAAGGAAGGAAGCUACAGUGUUAAACGAAGUGGAAGAUCAGUCUUCACUGGAGAUGGAUUAUGUCCUCAUUAGUGGUGAAGAAAAUGUACCUUUGAGGAAGGAUAUCUUGGUAACAGGAGAAAGCAAUUUCACUUCGCAGGAAGCUACAGCAGUGGCAGAACAAACAGAUUCUCUUCAAACCUUUUCACCAGACUCCUCGGAUACAUUUCAGUCAAUCUCCAUAAUAAAUGGAAGUGAAGGGCAGCCUACUUUGGAGACUGAAUGGGAUUCUUUUCAUUUUGAAGAGAAAUGUGCUGCUGUUGUACCUCAAAAACUGGGAGAUGAAAAGAAAGCAUCCAGAAGCCUUGUGCAAGAUCAGGAAUGGACUAUGGUGGGCCAACAUGGAGCGGAUGAUGUAUCCCCUGAAGAAAACUAUAGCAAGGCAGACACAAUGCAGCCACUGUGUGGAAAUCCUGUUAAAGAAUUAGAAGAUGUUUUAAUUCAGGAAUUGGUUUCUGAGACACAAAUAGAAACACUACUAGACAGAAGCUCUCACAAAUUACUGGAGCAAGAGGAUGAGAUUUCACACAAUGGAAAAACAGGUGCUCUUUUAUUUCAGAGUGGUGAUGGUAAUGGUGAUUUGGAAGACCAUUCACAACUUCCUAAAGAUGGCAUGGUAAUAGAGCAAGAAUUGGACCAGGAGAUUCAACUUGCUGACAGAGAGGAAGAAUACAGUCAUAUAACAGGAUUAGUCCCAGAGGAUGAGGGAAUGGAUAGCCCCUUCAGUGAGGCUGUGCUAAACUCCAGUGCUGCAGAGAUGAGACCUGAACCUCCUAACUCUCUAGAUCUUGAUGGCUCCAACCCCAGACGGAUAAAGCUCACUGCUCCAAAUAUCAAUCUCUCUUUGGACCAGAGUGAAGGCUCUCUCCUUUCAGAUGACAACCUGGACACUCCAGAUGAAAUUGAUAUCAAUGUAGAUGAUCUUGAAACCCCAGAUGAAGCUGAUUCUUUUGAAUAUACUGGACAUGAGGAGCAGCCAGUCUCUAAGGAAAUUUCUCAGGAGGCAUCUGAUUCAAUCCCAGAGUAUACUGCAGAAGAAGAAAGAGAGGACAACAGGUUGUGGAGAACAGUUGUCAUUGGGGACCAGGAACAGAGGAUUGAUAUGAAAGCAAUCGAACCAUAUAAAAAGGUCAUUUCUCAUGGAGGAUACUAUGGUGAUGGUGUAAAUGCCAUCAUUGUGUUUGCUGCAUGUUUUCUACCGGACAGCAGCCGAACUGAUUACCACUAUGUCAUGGAAAACCUUUUCCUAUAUGUAAUAAGUACUUUGGAACUCAUGGUAGCUGAAGACUAUAUGGUUGUUUACUUGAAUGGAGCAACACCAAGGAGAAGGAUGCCAGGCCUAGGUUGGAUGAAAAGAUGCUACCAGAUGAUUGAUAGGCGGUUAAGAAAGAAUUUGAAAUCUUUCAUCAUUGUUCAUCCUUCUUGGUUUAUCAGAACAAUUCUAGCAGUAACACGGCCUUUUAUAAGCUCAAAAUUCAGCAGCAAGAUACAAUAUGUGAGCACUUUGGCAGAGCUUAGUGAACUAAUUCCAAUGGAAUAUGUAAAUAUCCCAGAAAGUAUUGUCAAACUGGAUGAAGAGCUGAGGGAAGCAUCAGCAAAGUAAGACGGCAUUCUGAGCAAGCUGUCUUUCAAAUGACCCAGAGAUUACUUCAGUACAGCAGGAUGUCGACAUGAAGCUGAACGGAAAUUCCUAACUUUCUUGGCAACCUGAAAAAGAGACAUUUCCUCUGUUUGAUGUGCCUGAGCAUUGAGGAUGGGGACAAUUUUGGCUUCUCAAGUCAAAUACAAUCCUCCAGAAUCUUCUUGUUCACAAGUCUCAUCAUGACCAUGAGACCUAUAUGUGCAAGAAACUUUCCUGGUUGAUUGUACUCUUUGUUUGAUCUUUCAGUGCCAUUCAGUGCUUUCUAAGGUAAAGGGGGAUGGAAGCAGUCUCAUUCCUGUUGCUACUAGACAGAGAGCUACAGGUGGAUUAUGGUUUUAUGUAAUCUUAACUUCAGAAAUGUUGCCUGCAAUAAUGAUUCUGUCUGCUUUUUUCAAUUCCAUGUUGCUUGACCAUUAAUGUGCCUCAUAUAUGAUUUUAUAGAUUCAGUUAGUUCCAUUUCAUCUUCAGCAUAUUAGCAUUUCUGCGCAUAGCUGAACUAGAGGUAUGAUGCUCCCUAUAACAAAACUAAGGGAUUUUUGACAUACGUGUCCCAAUCCUUUACAGUGUGCAUCAGAGGGACUCUGGGGGCCCUCCCACAGAGGCCCCAAAAUGCAGAAGAAACCGGGAUAAAAGGAGUGUGUGGCUACAUGACAUUUGUCAAAAAUGUGUACUGGAUCACAUCAAUGGUUGAAAAGCACAUGUUAAAAAGGUGUGCUUAAAAUUUGAUUUCGUCCAAAAAUAUGCAUAUUCACAUCACUGUAUAUCCCUGCAAUCAUCUCAAAUUCUUGUGCGGACUGCUCUGGUGCGAAAUUCCAAAACAGCUGAUGAGGGCUGCAGACAAGUGAACACACAGGUGGCUAAAUGGAAGCACAAAUGGAAAGCAAUUCCCACAAGAACUCUCUGCAACCAUUCCUUUGUUCUGAUGUUUAUGAAAUUAAACAGAGAUUGGAUUUACACAGUGGGCACCAGCACAGCAGGCAAGUGACCCCAAAGGGAAGCGGGAUUCAAGGGGGAAAAAGUAAAGGUAGCAGGAGGGUGAUGAGAUAUAAUGACAAGAAAUCUAUUUGUGUGCACAUUAGUAUAUCAUCAUUAGUGCUUAUGAGGUCCAGCACAUCAUGGAGAGUCAAUAAAACUAAAUUAAAAGUAAACUUACAGCAGAUGUCAUGUGUCUAUCUUGUGGAUUUCCAAACUCUGCUACAACUCAAUCUGUCAGGGCGCCAGGGGAGCAUUUACUGGGACUGAGCUCCAUGUCUUGACUCUCCUUAAGAUACUGAGAUUUUUUUGCCCCACUUAUUUGUCCCGCAUUUUGAUACUGUCUAAAAGCAAGAGUCCCACAUCUUGUGGAGCACCAUUAGUAUUUCACAAAACUUGGGUUUUCAAUAUUAAUUGUUUGUUAUGUGAUUUCAUUAAAAGUGUUUAGAAUUCAUUUCCUAUCACAGUGCCUAUAUUUCAGACACUAUGCAGGACCACUUUUGAAAUUACUAUGCCCUGAAUAAGAAGGAUAUAUAUUUUUUGUAGUUGUGAGGAUGCAGACAUAACCAAGAAAAAAAUUAAUGAAGCUUCUAUACAAGCUAAUCAUUACAAGAGAACCUGAAACCAUGUACAGAUGGUAAUGAGAACAUAGACUGAAAUAUAUUAAGUAUGGGUCAGAUGAACAGCUGAUAUUUUGAAACAUCUUUGGAAUGGGGAAAUGAAAGGUCUGCUCUAACUGAAUUUCUGUACUAAUUAUCACCACCAACAAUACAUCAACACUUCUUGGUAGUUAUAGAACAAAAUAGUGACAGAAAAACACACAUUCCUUUAAGGAGAAAGACAUACACAUUCUGAAACAUACUUGGUUUUCAAAUGGUGGUGAUCAAUGGGUCCAUUUGACAGAUCUAAUAUAGAUAGCCAUGCAUUGUAUAUGCCUCAUUUAAUCAAAAAUGUAAGGUAAUAGACUUUACAAUUAAGUAUAAUAAACUUAAUAAGUCGCCAGUCAUUGCCAUUCUACUGUAUAAAUAUAGUUUUAAGUAGAUUUAGGUAUAAAUCAAUGGUAUCUGGAGCCAUUGUUAUGAUUAACCAUAAUAAGUCAUUAAUCAUUAAUAGUCAGGAUGCAGAACCAGAGUGGUAAAGCAAAAUCCUGUGGUAGCCAUUCUUUCUAGUUACAUAUUACUUAGAUUCAUAAUGGACCAUUCAAAUAAUAACUAUUGGCGAUCUGUGCAUUAUUCUGAUUUUUUCCCCAUAUAGAGGGUAGCAACUAUUUUUAUCUGGACAAUAGUAAAAUGUUUUCCAGAGAAUGCAAACAUCUGUGCUUGCUUUUUGUAUUUUUGAUUUUUGGUGUGCGUGCACAUCAAAUUUUAUCCACAUACAUACACACACAAAUUGUAUUAUUGACUAUUCAUUCAUGAAAUUGAUACAUGUGUCAGCCCAUAUCUGCAUCAUUAAUUCCAACAUAUCUGUGUUAAUUUGAUUAUUUUGAUCCUGUACAUGAACUUGUGAUAGAAACAGAAUACUUGGAUUUUUCUUUUAUGUGUGAGAGGUGGGUUUCCUUUGGCCCUAUAGUUGUUUGGGACUUCUUAAAACCACAAGCAACAUGUUGGGAUUUGUAGUUCUAAACACUUGGAAGGCCAAAGGUGAUCAUCCCAGAUAUACUUCAGAUUCUUGUUAAUUAAAUUUGGUUUUCCUAUAGAAGAAGAUAUUUCUGGAAGAGAUAUACAUAAGAUAUAGGUUAACACACACAGACAAACCGGACUGAAUGCAGUUUAAUGGAAAGAAACAAGUAGAUAUCCUUGGAGCCAGAUCUUAUGGGAAGAGUGAUGAGGCAAAGCAAUUGUGUCUUCUCUUCAUCGUUCCUUCCAUAAUAACUAGUCCUCAAGGCCUUUAUAGAGCCAAGACCUUAACAGAAAGACUACUGUACAAGGCCUGAAUUGUCAUGACUGCUGUAGUGCAGUGGCGGGAUGUUCCACUUCUCAUUUUGAGUAAUGAGAAAGCUAUGAUUGAUCCUGCAAGGUAAAGAAUUAUUUUUAUUGAAAUGUUGGGGGAUAUUUUGCUUUUGUCUUUUUCUGCAUAUCUGUCAACCAUACAUUAAAGGAAACCAUGGUUUCUGCUCUUCGA